rnacentral:misc_RNA from 1 species
GAAAAAAAAUUUCUUGCUUUGAAAGGAUUCAUCUGAAUAGCGUUCGGCAUUUGUAAUUCCUUCUUUUUGUGCAGAAGAAGCAAUGAGCUUCAGGUUUAAGCCUGUCUCGCAGCCGAGCAACCCUGAAGUUAACGAGGGCGGUGAAAAGGAUAAACAAAUAAAAACUUUGGAUCUUGGAAAUGGAAGCCAAAUCCUUUACAUGCCAAGGUUUUUAUCAUUUGACGACUCAUGGAAAUUCUUUGAUUACCUCAACUCUCACAUCCCUUGGACAAGACCGACCAUUCGUGUCUUUGGUCGCUCCUGUGUUCAGCCUAGAGACACGUGUUAUGUUGCAAGUCCAGGAUUGCCAGAAUUGAUUUACAGUGGCUAUAAACCGCAUGCCUACUCAUGGGAUGAUUAUCCUCCACUUAAGGACAUCUUGGAGGCUGUCCAUGAAGCACUUCCUGGGAGUAAAUUUAACAGCCUACUAUUGAAUAGGUAUAAAGGAGGCAAUGACAAUGUUGGUUGGCAUGCUGAUGAUGAGAAGCUUUAUGGUCCAACUCCAGAAAUUGCGUCUGUUUCCUUUGGAUGUGAACGAGAUUUCUUGUUGAAAAAGAGACCCAAUAAAUCAUCCCAACCCCAAGGUACCAUGAAGUGUUCUCAUCAUCUUCUUUCCUUUUGUUAGUUCUCAUGUUAAAGAGGGUCUGGACUGUAAAGCUGAUGGAUCUGUAGCUUGAUUUUGCAAUGUUGUAUGCGCUGCUUUGUUUUGAUGGUUUUGCUUGUAUUGAUUUGGAAAGUUCUUUGUCACAUCAUUGCAGACACUACAAUCCCUAUGCUUUAGUGAUCAGGUCAUUGAGCAUGUAUGAAGCUGGCACCACAAUUCAUACAGUUUGUUAUUGUGGAUUGUUUUGUUAUAUCUACUGAUAGGGUUUAACUUAGUUAUUGCCUUUUGGUGUGAGCGGCAGAAAGAAGAUCUGAUGAUGAACCUGCUAGCAAGCGAUUAAAGAAAUGCUGCCAUGUUGAUCAGCAUUCUUUUACGCUAAAACAUGGAUCACUAUUGGUGAUGAGAGGUUACACACAAAGAGAUUGGCUCCACUCAGUGCCUAAGCGUGCAAAAGCAGAGGCGACCAGAAUUAAUCUUACCUUUAGACACGUUCACGGAGGGUUGCAGGGAUGAAAAUUUGGUCUUUUGUUGCCCUGGUAUUUAUCAUACCUACUUAGUUCUUGCUGAAAUUUCUGCUGAUGGGUAGUUGUAUUCUGCGACUUAGAAGAGAGAGAAUAUUCAUGAGUUGAUAUGAACAUGAGAAAUUUUGGGUUUGGUGUCUGUAAAAUGAAUUAAAAUAUACUGGCCAAUCCUUUGAUUGAGCAUCCAUUGUGGCCAUCUCAUACCCUGUAGGAAUACUUGAUGAAUAUUGAAACGUACAUGAUGAAGUUUGGUUUGCUUGGUUCUUGUACUAUGAAAAAUCAAGUCACCAACUAGAAGCCAUACCAAAUAAAAUCAAAAUUUCAAUUGGGUUAAUUACUUGAUUUUAGUUUGAUUAGGAAUUUGGACAAACAGAGGAAUACUCUAAUUAAUG